rnacentral:rRNA from 1 species
GGUCACUGCUAUUGGGAUUCGACUAAGCCAUGCGAGUCGAGAGGGUUCGGCCCUCGGCUGACGGCUCAGUGACACGUGGAUAAUCUGCCCUUAGGUGGAAGAUAAUCUCGGGAAACUGAGGAUAAUACUCCAUAGAUCUAGGAUGCUGGAAUGCAUUUAGAUUGAAAGCUCCGGCGCCUAAGGAUGAAUCUGCGGACUAUCAGGUUGUAGUCAGGGUAAAGGCCUGACUAGCCUACGACGGAUACGGGUUGUGAGAGCAAUAACCCGGAGACGAUAUCUGAGACACGAUAUCGGGCCCUGCGGGGCGCAGCAGGCGCGAAAACUUCACACUGUGCGAAAGCGCGAUGAGGGAAUCCCAGGUGGGUGCUCGUAAGAGUAAACUGUUUCUUUGUUUAAAACGCAGAGAGAGUAAGGGCUGGGUAAGACGGGUGCCAGCCGCCGCGGUAAUACCUGCAGCUCAAGUGGUGAUCAUUAUUAUUGGGCCUAAAACGUCCGUAGCCGGUUUAGUAAAUGCCUGGGUAAAUUGUGUAGCUUAACUAUACGACUUCCGGGUAGACUGCUGAACUUGAGACCGGGAGAGGCUAGAGGUACUCCUAGGGUAGAGGUGAAAUUCUGUAAUCCUAGGGGGACCACCAGUGGCGAAGGCGUCUAGCUAGAACGGGUCUGACGGUGAGGGACGAAGCCCUGGGGCACAAACCGGAUUAGAUACCCGGGUAGUCCAGGGUGUAAACGCUGCUUGCUUGAUGUUAGUUGGGCUUCGAGCCCAACUAGUGUCGGAGAGAAGUUGUUAAGCAAGCUGCCUGGGGAGUACGGUCGCAAGGCUGAAACUUAAAGGAAUUGGCGGGGGAGCACAGCAACGGGUGGAGCGUGCGGUUUAAUUGGAUUCAACGCCGGAAAACUCACCGGGGGCGACGGUUACAUGAAGGUCAAGCUGAUGACUUUACCUGAUUUUCCGAGAGGUGGUGCAUGGCCGUCGUCAGUUCGUACCGUAAGGCGUUCUGUCACCCUCAGAUAACGAAC